rnacentral:rRNA from 1 species
GGGUCAGUAGGUUGGUCGUGCCACCGGUACGUACUGGUCUCACUUAUUCCUCCUUCCUGAAUAACCGUAAUGCCAUUAAUUUGGUGUUGCGGGGAAACAGGACUGUUACUUUGAAAAAAUUAGAGUGUUUAAAGCAAGCUAACGCUUGAAUACAUUAGCAUGGAAUAAUGAAAUAGGACGAUAGAUCCUAUUUUGUUGGUUUCUAGGAUUGACGUA